ACAGAAUUGUUUUUCUUUCAUGGUAAAUAGGACAACUAACGAUCUUCCUUGCCAAGGAAUCAGCACAUAAAUAUUUCCCUCUCUACCAAUGAACUUAAACACUGGUUGUAACGUAUGAUUUGCCAUCUCUUCAUCAGCUUGAUGACAUUCCGAGAGUCUAGUUAGUCUCUUUUUGGCCAUGUUAGCCGCCACGCAGAGAAUUAGUAAGACAUCUCCAAAGAAAGUGAUGAAUAUUUGGCAUAGUCUUUACGUUCCAGAUUGGCUUUGUAGAGAGGAUCUAGACUAGACUGUAGCAUCUUAUUUUUGUUGAACAUCCAAGAAUCACCUUCAUUAAAAUUUAACGCUUACCAUUGAGCUCACUAAUUCAAUUUUGUUGGUAUAUCAAUCCAUGUUCUACAUGGAAAAUAUUAGAUGGUAUACUAUAAGUGAAGUCUAACUUCAAUUGGUAUGAGGUAUUCCUACGAUAUUUUGAUCAAAGAUAUUUAGAUUCGAUGAAUACAAAAAUCCGUAAGAAAUAUUUGAAGUGAUAAUAUUAUAACGUUUUUCUCUAGCAUAACUCCCUAUUUCCCCCUUUAUCUUAUUAUAUAAUCCACCACGACCCAAAUAACUACUUAAUACUUAUGGCAAUGGUUUUAAAUCAUCUUGUUCACUAACAAUUACUAAUUUUCCGUGAUUGGAGGAUUUGUGAUUUAGAUUUUGAAAACAGAAACUUGAUUAACGCCUAAAUGCUGAAUAUUUGUUUUCAGAAUUCAAAUAUGAAAUCGACAAAAAAAAAAAAAAAAAUUGAUUGAUUGGUAUGUUUGACCGUUUAUCACCGAAAGCUUCUCAAAAUGUUUUUCCUUCCAUAAGACUUUUGACCAUGGAUUACUUUCAAAUAAAAUGGUACCAAGUUCAACGCAUCCUAAAAAAAAAAUCAAAUAAUAGACAAAAAAAUCGAAAUGAAAAGAAUUUUACGGUAAAACUACAGAACAUUGACAAAAUGAUUGAUUUGACUAAAACCGACUCCAAACCAAAACUCUAAUUCAUAUCAAGCCGAUAACUAUAUAUAAAAACUUUGUUUCAUUUUCGUUUACUUUUCCUUUCCAGAUCAAAAACCCAAAAAAUAAACUAAAUAGCAGACAAUCAAAACCAAAAUCUACAUAACAACAUACACAAACCAUAUAUAAAUAUAUACGGAGGUAUAGCAUAUAUAUUACUUAUGCAAAUGAGUUACCAUUUGCUUUAAUGGUCAUGCUUGGCUCCUUGCACGCCACCGGCAGCCGAUUUUCAGCUAAAACCAGUAUCCACUCGUGGCAUACAGGGAGCCAGGCAUGACGGUGAAUCAAUAUAUAUGUAUGUAAUUGUAUACGAAACCUUUAAGGCGCAUGAACGUUGGAGGACAUUUUUAUACGUCGAUCUUGGCUUGAAUCGAAUCAGAAUAUUUAUUUAUUACUGCUGGGAAGAGAAAAUGAAAGUAGAGAGAGGUAUUGGAGAUUUUUGGUUCAAGA
rnacentral:lncRNA from 1 species